UACGUAGGGGGCAAGCGUUGUCCGGAAUCAUUGGGCGUAAAGAGCGUGUAGGCGGCCAGAAAAGUCCGCUGUGAAAACUCGAGGCUCAACUUCGAGCUGUCGGUGGAAACUUUCUGGCUAGAGUCCGGAAGGGGCGAGUGGAAUUCCUGGUGUAGCGGUGAAAUGCGCAGAUAUCAGGAAGAACACCAAUGGCGAAGGCAGCUCUCUGGGACGGUACUGACGCUGAGACGCGAAAGCGUGGGGAGCGAACAGG
rnacentral:rRNA from 1 species